GGCCAGACUCCUACGGGAGGCAGCAGUGGGGAAUAUUGCACAAUGGGGGAAACCCUGAUGCAGCGACGCCGCGUGAGCGAUGAAGUAUUUCGGUAUGUAAAGCUCUAUCAGCAGGGAAGAAAAUGACGGUACCUGACUAAGAAGCCCCGGCUAACCACGUGCCAGCAGCCGCGGUAAUACGUAGGGGGCAAGCGUUAUCCGGAUUUACUGGGUGUAAAGGGAGCGUAGACGGCGGUGCAAGCCAGAUGUGAAAGCCCGGGGCUCAACCCCGGGACUGCAUUUGGAACUGUGCUGCUAGAGUGUCGGAGAGGCAGGCGGAAUUCCUAGUGUAGCGGUGAAAUGCGUAGAUAUUAGGAGGAACACCAGUGGCGAAGGCGGCUUACUGGACGGCAACUGACGCUGAGGCUCGAAAGCGUGGGGAGCAAACAGGAUUAGAUACCCCGGUACC
rnacentral:rRNA from 1 species